AUACAGAGGGUGCGAGCGUUAAUCGGAAUUACUGGGCGUAAAGCGCGCGUAGGCGGCUACUUAAGUCAGAUGUGAAAUCCCCGGGCUCAACCUGGGAACUGCAUCUGAUACUGGGUAGCUAGAGUUUAGGAGAGGGAAGUAGAAUUUCAGGUGUAGCGGUGAAAUGCAUAGAGAUCUGAAGGAAUACCAGUGGCGAAGGCGGCUUCCUGGCCUAAAACUGACGCUGAGGUGCGAAAGCGUGGGUAGCAAACAGGAUUAGAAACCCCAGUAGUCC
rnacentral:rRNA from 1 species